CCUACGGGAGGCUGCAGUCGAGAAUCAUUCACAAUGGGGGAAACCCUGAUGGUGCGACGCCGCGUGGGGGAAUGAAGGUCUUCGGAUUGUAAACCCCUGUCAUGUGGGAGCAAAUUAAUAAGAUAGUACCCCAAGAGGAAGAGACGGCUAACUCUGUGCCAGCAGCCGCGGUAAUACAGAGGGCCCAAGCGUUGUUCGGAAUCACUGGGCGUAAAGCGUGCGUAGGCUGUUUCGUAAGACGGGUGUGAAAGGCGCGGGCUCAACCCGCGGACUGCACAUGAUACUGCGAGACUAGAGUAAUGGAGGGGGAACCAGAAUUCGCGGUGUAGCAGUGAAAGGCGUAGAGAUCGGGAGGAACACUCGUGGCGAAGGCGGGUUCCUGGACAUGAACUGACGCUGAGGCACGAAGGCCAGGGGAGCGAAAGGGAUUAGAUACCCGGGUAGUC
rnacentral:rRNA from 1 species